CCUACGGGAGGCAGCAGUGGGGAAUAUUGGACAAUGGGGGCAACCCUGAUCCAGCCAUGCCGCGUGUGUGAAGAAGGCCCUCGGGUUGUAAAGCACUUUCAGUGAGGAAGAACGCCUGGUGGUUAAUACCCAUCAGGAAAGACAUCACUCACAGAAGAAGCACCGGCUAACUCCGUGCCAGCAGCCGCGGUAAUACGGAGGGUGCGAGCGUUAAUCGGAAUUACUGGGCGUAAAGCGCGCGUAGGUGGCUUGAUAAGCCGGUUGUGAAAGCCCCGGGCUCAACCUGGGAACGGCAUCCGGAACUGUCAAGCUAGAGUGCAGGAGAGGAAGGUAGAAUUCCCGGUGUAGCGGUGAAAUGCGUAGAGAUCGGGGGGAAUACCAGUGGCGAAGGCGGCCUUCUGGACUGACACUGACACUGAGGUGCGAAAGCGUGGGUAGCAAACAGGAUUAGAUACCCUAGUAGUC
rnacentral:rRNA from 1 species